rnacentral:rRNA from 1 species
AUUGAACGCUGGCGGCAGGCCUAACACAUGCAAGUCGAGCGAGCGGCGGACGGGUGAGUAAGGUAUGGGGAUCUGCCCGAUAGAGGGGGAUAACUACUGGAAACGGUGGCUAAUACCGCCAACUAUCGGCUGAACCCAUAGGGGAUUAGCUAGGAGGUGGGGUAAAGGCUCACCUGGGCGACGAUGUCUAGCUGGCCUGAGAGGAUGAUCAGCCACACGGGGACUGAGACACGGCCCAGACUCCUACGGGAGGCAGCAGUGGGGAAUAUUGCACAAUGGGCGAAAGCCUGAUGCAGCAAUGCCGCGUGUAUGAAGAAGGCCUUAGGGUUGUAAAGCACUUUCAGCGGGGAGGCGUUACCCGCAGAAGAAGCACCGGCUAACUCCGUGCCAGCAGCCGCGGUAAUUC